CCUACGGGAGGCAGCAGUGGGGAAUAUUGGACAAUGGGCGAAAGCCUGAUCCAGCAAUUCCGCGUGUGUGAAGAAGGCCUUCGGGUUGUAAAGCACUUUAGGUUGGGAAGAAAAGCUUCGGUGAAUAUCCGGAGUGUUGACGGUACCAACAGAAUAAGCACCGGCUAACUCUGUGCCAGCAGCCGCGGUAAUACAGAGGGUGCAAGCGUUAAUCGGAUUUACUGGGCGUAAAGCGUGCGCAGGUGGUUUCGUAAGUCGGAUGUGAAAGCCCCGGGCUCAACCUGGGAACUGCGUUCGAUACUGCGAGACUAGAGUUUGGUAGAGGGUGGCGGAAUUCCCGGUGUAGCGGUGAAAUGCGUAGAUAUCGGGAGGAACAUCAAUGGCGAAGGCAGCCACCUGGGCCUGAACUGACACUGAGGCACGAAAGCGUGGGUAGCAAACAGGAUUAGAUACCCUGGUAGUCCACGCCGUAAACGAUGAGAACUUGACGUUGGUUCGUUUACGAAUCGGUGUCGUAGCUAACGCGAUAGUCUCNCNGGNGAGCGCAGUGAUAAGAGUGNGNGNGNGAGNGCGAGNGACGACGAGGAG
rnacentral:rRNA from 1 species